rnacentral:rRNA from 1 species
UACCUGCAGCUCAAGUGGUGGCCGCUAUUAUUGGGCCUAAAACGUUCGUAGCCGGCUGAGUAAAUGCUUGGGUAAAUCGUGCCGCUUAACGGUACGAAUUCCGAGUAGACUGCUUAGCUUGAGACCGGGAGAAGCUAGAGGUACUCCUGGGGUAGGGGUGAAAUCCUGUAAUCCUGGGGGGACCACCAGUGGCGAAGGCGUCUAGCUAGAACGGGCCUGACGGUGAGGGACGAAACCCUGGGGCGCAAACCGGAUUAGAUACCCGGGUAGUCCAGGGCGCAAACGCUGCUUGCUUGAUGUUAGCUGGGCUCCGAGCUCAGCUAGUGUCGGAGAGAAGUUGUUAAGCAAGCUGCCUGGGAAGUACGAUCGCAAGAUUGAAAACUUAAGGAAUUGGCGGGGGAGCACAGCAACGGGUGGAGCGUGCGGUUU